GACGAACGCUGGCGGCGUGCUCAACACAUGCAAGUCGAACGGAAAGGCCCUGCUUUUGUGGGGUGCUCGAGUGGCGGACGGGUGAGUAACACGUGAGUAACCUGCCCUUGACUUUGGGAUAACUUCAGGAAACUGGGGCUAAUACCGGAUAGGAGCUCCUGCUGCAUGGUGGGGGUUGGAAAGUUUCGGCGGUUGGGGAUGGACUCGCGGCUUAUCAGCUUGUUGGUGGGGUAGUGGCUUACCAAGGCUUUGACGGGUAGCCGGCCUGAGAGGGUGACCGGCCACAUUGGGACUGAGAUACGGCCCAGACUCCUACGGGAGGCAGCAGUGGGGAAUAUUGCACAAUGGGCGGAAGCCUGAUGCAGCAACGCCGCGUGCGGGAUGACGGCCUUCGGGUUGUAAACCGCUUUCGCCUGUGACGAAGCGUGAGUGACGGUAAUGGGUAAAGAAGCACCGGCUAACUACGUG
rnacentral:rRNA from 1 species